rnacentral:rRNA from 1 species
UGGGGAAUAUUGCGCAAUGGGGGAAACCCUGACGCAGCGACGCCGCGUGUGGGAUGAAGGUCUUCGGAUUGUAAACCACUGUCGCGAGGGACGAAGCUCUGACGGUACCUCGAAAGGAAGCACCGGCUAACUCUGUGCCAGCAGCCGCGGUAAUACAGAGGGUGCGAGCGUUGUCCGGAAUCACUGGGCGUAAAGGGCGCGUAGGCGGCCCGGUAAGUAGGGGGUGAAAUCUCAUGGCUCAACUGUGAGGCUGCCUUCUAGACUGCCAGGCUUGAGCACAGUAGAGGCGAGUGGAAUUCCCGGUGUAGCGGUGGAAUGCGUAGAGAUCGGGAAGAACAUCGGUGGCGAAGGCGGCUCGCUGGGCUGUUGCUGACGCUGAGGCGCGAAAGCGUGGGGAGCAGACAGGAUUAGAUACCCACGUAGUCCCUGAGCGGGCUGGCAAGGCGCAU